UCUUAUGGAUGAGCAAAAAACUGGUUUCUUGAGAUGGAAUCUGCUCCUGGUGAAGAUGCUGUGAA
rnacentral:pre_miRNA from 1 species